GGGUCGUUAGCUCAGCUGGUAGAGCAGCGGACUUUUAAUCCGUUGGUCGCAGGUUCGAGCCCUGCACGGCCUACCA
rnacentral:tRNA from 1 species